rnacentral:rRNA from 1 species
GAGUUUGAUCAUGGCUCAGAUUGAACGCUGGCGGCAUGCCUUACACAUGCAAGUCGAACGGCAGCACGGGUGCUUGCACCUGGUGGCGAGUGGCGAACGGGUGAGUAAUACAUCGGAACAUGUCCUGUAGUGGGGGAUAGCCCGGCGAAAGCCGGAUUAAUACCGCAUACGAUCUACGGAUGAAAGCGGGGGACCUUCGGGCCUCGCGCUAUAGGGUUGGCCGAUGGCUGAUUAGCUAGUUGGUGGGGUAAAGGCCUACCAAGGCGACGAUCAGUAGCUGGUCUGAGAGGACGACCAGCCACACUGGGACUGAGACACGGCCCAGACUCCUACGGGAGGCAGCAGUGGGGAAUUUUGGACAAUGGGCGAAAGCCUGAUCCAGCAAUGCCGCGUGUGUGAAGAAGGCCUUCGGGUUGUAAAGCACUUUUGUCCGGAAAGAAAUCCUUGGCUCUAAUACAGUCGGGGGAUGACGGUACCGGAAGAAUAAGCACCGGCUAACUACGUGCCAGCAGCCGCGGUAAUACGUAGGGUGCGAGCGUUAAUCGGAAUUACUGGGCGUAAAGCGUGCGCAGGCGGUUUGCUAAGACCGAUGUGAAAUCCCCGGGCUCAACCUGGGAACUGCAUUGGUGACUGGCAGGCUAGAGUAUGGCAGAGGGGGGUAGAAUUCCACGUGUAGCAGUGAAAUGCGUAGAGAUGUGGAGGAAUACCGAUGGCGAAGGCAGCCCCCUGGGCCAAUACUGACGCUCAUGCACGAAAGCGUGGGGAGCAAACAGGAUUAGAUACCCUGGUAGUCCACGCCCUAAACGAUGUCAACUAGUUGUUGGGGAUUCAUUUCCUUAGUAACGUAGCUAACGCGUGAAGUUGACCGCCUGGGGAGUACGGUCGCAAGAUUAAAACUCAAAGGAAUUGACGGGGACCCGCACAAGCGGUGGAUGAUGUGGAUUAAUUCGAUGCAACGCGAAAAACCUUACCUACCCUUGACAUGGUCGGAAUCCCGCUGAGAGGUGGGAGUGCUCGAAAGAGAACCGGCGCACAGGUGCUGCAUGGCUGUCGUCAGCUCGUGUCGUGAGAUGUUGGGUUAAGUCCCGCAACGAGCGCAACCCUUGUCCUUAGUUGCUACGCAAGAGCACUCUAAGGAGACUGCCGGUGACAAACCGGAGGAAGGUGGGGAUGACGUCAAGUCCUCAUGGCCCUUAUGGGUAGGGCUUCACACGUCAUACAAUGGUCGGAACAGAGGGUUGCCAACCCGCGAGGGGGAGCUAAUCCCAGAAAACCGAUCGUAGUCCGGAUUGCACUCUGCAACUCGAGUGCAUGAAGCUGGAAUCGCUAGUAACCGCGGAUCAGCAUGCCGCGGUGAAUACGU